CUAUGACUCACAUAAUAGGAUAUCAUCAAAGCAUUCCUACAAUUUGAUAAAAGAUAUUUAGAAAUUAAUACAAAAUCCAAACACGUCACUGAGUUUUCCCUCCAGUGACACUGGGCUUUCCCUCCAAUGCAACAUCUUAUAAAAGCUCUAAAAUGGAUUCCAAUAUAUGGCAUAUCCUCAUGUCAACUACGUGGGAUUUCACGUAUUAUACAAUAUGGUUUUUGUACUAUUAUUGAAAAAUAAAUUAUCAGAAUAAAAGAACCUGAUAGGUCAUAUUUCUAACAAGAACUACUUCUACAAAUAAAGUUGCAUCUUUAUACAAACCGCACACUUUGUUAAAAAUAAAAUUUUAAAUUUCUAAAUAGCUUAGUAAGUAAUUUUUUAGACAAACGAAAACGGCGUAUAAAAUCUUUAUUUUCUUUGUUAGAUAGGGCUAGUUAGUGUUCUCAUGCUUCUUGAUGAGCGUAUAGUCAACGCGAGGGACACCUUAAAAACAAGGAAAAAGUUUAUAUAAAGUUUCAAACUGUAAAAUGAAAGAUUAAGGUGCACCUAAAAAAUUCAUUAUAAUACCCCUCUAAUUAAUCAUCUGAAUUGAGAUGUGUGAAUAUGUAAGAAAACAAAUUUUUGAGUCUAAAAAAUAAUGCAUCUUGCAGUACAUUAUUUAGACUGUCUAUUUUUAAGAUUUUCAUGUAUUUAUAGAUCUACUUGAUUUGAAUUAUUUGUAGAGUUUAAAACUUUAUAAUUGCAUAUGAAAAUAAAUUUUUAAGCCAUCUUAAGAAUUUUUUUCACCAAAAUUUUAUCUUAUGAUCAUGCCCAACUUUGCAUGUUUAAGGUUGCAACCUCACACAAACCACACCCAAAAUAAAAAAGAUUGGACAUUACAAAACCAUUUAUUUUUAGAAAAGAGUUUAUAUAAGGUGUACGAGUAAGGUGCACCUAAAGAACCCACUAGAGAAGGUUGUUCUUAUGCAACAAAACUCUCAAAUCGAUAAUCUUCACCUCAAGAUUCAUAAACACAAAAUAAAAAAAAUAAAAAAAAAGGGGGAUUUCUAGUCCUAAAAAUAGUUCAUCUUCUAACACAUUAUAUGGACCAUCCAUUUUCAAUAUUCUUAAGUGCUUAUAGAUCUGUAUGAUAAUCACAAUUUUUAGAACUUUAAAUUUCACAAUUUGGGCCAACAACAGAUAUUCAUCGCAAGGCUUUGUCGCAUGGAAACUGUAUUUUCAACAAAGUUUUGAAGUAUACCUUACUUCAAUACUACAAUAUUGACAACUUAUACAGACGUCAUCCUUAUUUUAAUACAAGGAAGUCAUUGUCAUUUUUAGCUAAAAUCCAAUACAAUGUUGUCAGAUACAGGUCAGAUAUAG
rnacentral:lncRNA from 1 species